UACGAGGGGGGCUAGCGUUGCUCGGAAUUACUGGGCGUAAAGCGCACGUAGGCGGCUUUCUAAGUCGGGGGUGAAAUCCUGGAGCUCAACUCCAGAACUGCCUUCGAUACUGGAGAGCUUGAGUCCGGGAGAGGUGAGUGGAACUGCGAGUGUAGAGGUGAAAUUCGUAGAUAUUCGCAAGAACACCAGUGGCGAAGGCGGCUCACUGGCCCGGUACUGACGCUGAGGUGCGAAAGCGUGGGGAGCAAACAGG
rnacentral:rRNA from 1 species